rnacentral:tRNA from 1 species
GCCUGGGUGGCUCAGUCGAUUAAGCGUCUGCUUUCAGCUCAGGUCGUGAUCUCACAGUUCGUGGGUUCGAGUCCCGCGUCGGGCU